rnacentral:tRNA from 1 species
GGCAGUUUCGCUCGGUUUCACCGAGAACACGGCUUUUCGGUUUUGUAAACCGAAGGUCGGGGGUUCGAUCCCCUCAGCCGGCACCG